rnacentral:rRNA from 1 species
GACGAACGCUGGCGGCGUGCUUAACACAUGCAAGUCGAACGGGCCUGCCUGGCUUUGGUUGGGUGGGUGAGUGGCGAACGGGUGAGUAACACGUGAGUAACCUGCCCUCUUCUCUUGGAUAACUGCUUGAAAGGGCGGCUAAUACGGGAUGUUCUGGCUGCCUCGCAUGGGGUGGUUUGGAAAGAUUCGGCCUGGUUUUGGUUGUUUUGGUGGGGGAUGGGCUCGCGGCUUAUCAGCUUGUUGGUGGGGUGAUGGCCUACCAAGGCGGUGACGGGUAGCCGGCCUGAGAGGGUGGACGGUCACACUGGGACUGAGACACGGCCCAGACUCCUGCGGGAGGCAGCAGUGGGGGAUUUUGCACAAUGGGCGCAAGCCUGAUGCAGCGACGCCGCGUGAGGGAUGGAGGCCUUCGGGUUGUGAACCUCUGUCGCCGGAGAUGUAGGCUCUGCUUUUUGGGUGGGGUA